CAAAGAUUUAUCGGCAAAGGAUGGGCCUGCGUCUGAUUAGCUAGUUGGUAAGGUAACGGCUUACCAAGGCGACGAUCAGUAGCCGACCUGAGAGGGUGAACGGCCACAUUGGAACUGAGACACGGUCCAAACUCCUACGGGAGGCAGCAGUGGGGAAUAUUGCACAAUGGGCGAAAGCCUGAUGCAGCAACGCCGCGUGAAGGAAGAAGGCCUUCGGGUCGUAAACUUCUGUCCUUGGGGAAGAAGAACUGACGGUACCCAAGGAGGAAGCCCCGGCUAACUACGUGCCAGCAGCCGCGGUAAUACGUAGGGGGCAAGCGUUAUCCGGAAUUAUUGGGCGUAAAGAGUACGUAGGUGGCAACCUAAGCGCAGGGUUUAAGGCAAUGGCUCAACCAUUGUUCGCCCUGCGAACUGGGAUGCUUGAGUGCAGGAGAGGAAAGCGGAAUUCCUAGUGUAGCGGUGAAAUGCGUAGAUAUUAGGAGGAACACCAGUGGCGAAGGCGGCUUUCUGGACUGUAACUGACACUGAGGUACGAAAGCGUGGGGAGCAAACAGGAUUAGAUACCCUGGUAGUCCACGCCGUAAACGAUGAGCACUAGGUGUCGGGGUCGCAAGA
rnacentral:rRNA from 1 species